ensembl:lncRNA
GGAGGAGAGGAUGGUUGGAGGAGGAGAGGGUGGAAGUAGGAGGAUGGAGGUUGAUGGAGGAGAGGGUGGAGGUAGGAGGAAGAGAGGAUGGAGGUAGGAGAAUGGAGGUUGAUGGAGGUGAGGGUGGAGGUUGGAGGAGGAGAGGGUGGAGGUAAGAGGAGGAGAGGAUGGAGGUAGGAGGAGGAGAGGAUGGUUGGAGGAGGAGAGGGUGGAAGUAAGAGGAUGGAGGUUGGAGGAGGAGAGGGUGGAGGUUGGAGGAGGAGAGGAUGGAGGUUGGAGGAGCAGAGGAUGGAGGUUGGAGGUUGGAGGAGGAGAGGGUAGAGGUAGGAGGAGGAGAGGAUGGGAUAGGAGGAGGAAAGGGUGGAGGAUCGAGGUAGGAGGAGGAGAGGAUGGAGGUUGGAGGAGGA